rnacentral:lncRNA from 1 species
CCUCAACGAUGACGAAGGGAACUAGAAGUCUGCACAACCAUCUACACAGAAAACUGUUUCUCAACAAUAUUUUCAUCUGAUUUCAAAAUAACUUCGGCAACAAUUCAAAAUGGUAAAAAGUAAAACCUCAUGUCACUAGAGUGCAAAGUCUUGGUUACCGGAUCACCCCAGUACUCUUUAUAUCUUUUAAUAGUUAGUCGCAAAUUACAAAAGCAUUCCACAAAAGGCUCCCUGGAGAACAACAUAUCAACCCUCAAAGGUUGUAAAUACCAAUUGUAUUUAACCACCAACAUCACUACAAAAUAUUUUCUUCAGAACAAUAUCUGAAUAAACCGUUGUCCAAUGGAGACAAUCAUGAUUCAAUUUUACGUCUUAAUUAACUCAGUUCUACCACAAACUAAGUUCCCAAAGUUUUCACCAAAAGGUCCCUAUGUUACAUUAGCAUGAAGCCAUGAACCUAGAAUAGUUAACAACAUAAAAUGUUUUCCAAAACUGGAAUUGAUCAUAAGUUGCUAGGAUAAGAUACAAGGUAGAAUUUGAUUGUUGCAGCUACAUGCAUCUAAUAUAAGCACAAAACUUACUUUGUGUGGUUUCAAUGCAAUUAUGAUGCCAGAAAUAUCAUGCUAGAAUGAGUUCUAUAGUACACUACAAAAGAUAGGGUCUUGAUCUCAAAGAACAUGCGUACUUCUUGCCUUUGAACCAUGAAAAGAUGUGCCACAACUGCAAAUAGCUUGUAAGCUCAAUAAGAGAUACUUAAAUUCCAAUAAAGAACGAAGUACUAAUUUCACAGCUGAAUACUUUGCACUCGUAUUGUUUAUCAUGCAAAUGCGGUCAAUCACGAUUAUUCUUCCACAACCAAAUUUCUUCUGAACCAUAAGAAUAACAUACAACAAAAAAAGAAACAUGUAGCUAAUUCUGCAGUUCAAUUGUGCAUCAAGGUUAUAUUCAUACCUCUACGGUGAUACUAAGAAGCAGUACUUACACAAGUAUGAGUUGACUUUGUCUGUUCAAAUUCUCAAAGUUAUUCAUUUCCAUUAUGAUUAAUCAACAAAUGAUAUGUUAACUAUUGCGAAUGCCAUAGUAAUAUGAAAACCAGUGCGAUUAUAAUGGAUGCCUCAAACAAUCCCCUUCUAAGUUUUGAUCCGCUGACACUGUUAGGGAGAAAAGAUUCAGUAUCAUCAUGCCAUCUCAUGGUACAGAGUAGUUACCGAAUUAGAUAUAACAAUAUUUUUUUCAUUUUGUUUUUCUUUUGUCCCUAUGAAUAAAAGGAUCAAUCAACAGAGGAAAAAGAUGUCAGCAUGGCUUGAAAAUGAAAAAAAAUUAAACACUAAAAACAGAACCUUGAGAUUAAGACCAUAUAUUGAAUCUUGUCAAUAAGUGACAUGUAAUCCUAAUCAAUCCAACACCAACCUCUCAAAUGUUAUAAAGCAAGAUAAGGAUUAUAAGGACCAACAGAAAGAGAUGAUUAGGUCCUCAUCCUCUCUGCAAGAAAACAGAUAAGUCGAGCGUCUGGAUUGCUUAAUCAAGGCCCUUAAUGCAAACAAAGUCCAGUGAACCUCAUCGAAGUCUUGAAACUGUAUUUCGCUCUCAAUGUACCUUUCAGUGAUACGGUUUUCUAAAACAACUAAAAAACCAAUUAAAAGAUAAAAAACAAUUC